rnacentral:rRNA from 1 species
UACGUAGGGUGCGAGCGUUAAUCGGAAUUACUGGGCGUAAAGCGUGCGCAGGCGGUUUUGUAAGCCAGAUGUGAAAUCCCCGGGCUUAACCUGGGAAUGGCAUUUGGGACUGCAAGGCUUGAGUGCGGCAGAGGAGACUGGAAUUCCUGGUGUAGCAGUGAAAUGCGUAGAUAUCAAGAGGAACACCGAUGGCGAAGGCAGGUCUCUGGGCUGACACUGACGCUCAUGCACGAAAGCGUGGGGAGCAAACAGG